GUUAUCAUUAAAUAAAAAUGAUACCAGAACUGCAGAGGUAACAACUCUUCUGAAAGGCUGAGUCAACACGAAAAAGAACAGUCAGCAGUGAAUAAGAGAAAUCUGGGAUGCCUUCACUUCAGAUAUUCAGUAAGGAAGAGGAAACAGCACAGGUACAUUUCGUGCUCUCAAGGAACUCCUGUCCUGCUUAAGAAAAAUAAAACUUUCAUCUGAAGUGAACUAAUAACUGUUGCAAAGUAAGAAGGCCCUACAGUGACCUUACUGUUGGCUGAUUCCAGGGAAGCCACCUCAUUAUUCUGACUUGAAAUUUCUUCAUCUCCAAAAUCAGAGGAAGAAUGCACAUCACAGUCCUGCUCUGACAACAUAGGCCCAGGGAAAUGAAGAAGAGCAAUUUUUCCAUUAUCGUAAACUGCAAAAAGUGGAUGCACAGGUUCCUUUUGAGCUGUAAUGAAGAAGUUUGGAGCUGGAGACUACAAAUAUUUGAAGUAAUUUUGAUGUCAAUUUUUCAAAUUUCCAAGAAGUUCUACGGUUGAAAACAGCUUUUUUUACGCCCUCCAGAUUUCAAGAAUUUUGGGACAUCAGGCACUGCAGAAACCUGAAUUCAGUGGGUCAGUUGAAAGUUUGGUAAAGAUGUGCUUGAGCGAACAGCUGGACAUGAGAAGAACUAGUUCUUCAGUGCUGAGUGGGUUUGGCAGCACAGCUAGGACUGCAUAAUUGGGGUGUCCUUGGUUAUCCUAGAAAAACUGAAAAAAACCAUCAUGGUACAGCUUUUCAACCAUUUCAGGGAAAGUUGAUGAUUUUGUAUCCAAAAUGGAUAUGCAUAAUUCCAGAGGGAGUUUUUAAGAUUUUAGGUUGUCGUCAGUGACUAGUUACCUUUGUGUCUGUGUCUAAACUCCCUUAGCGGCCAUCUUCUAUAUACAUAUGUUGUGCCUAAAUAAAUAUCUCAGCUGUCCCUCAGGUGGAGGGCUGUCAUCAAGGCUUGCUUUAGCCAAACACACUGUGUCAGUCAGAUACAGUGAUGGGACCACAAGAUGAUAGAACCCAGAGGAAAUUUGAUAGUUUGUGCUAUAGAAGCACUCAGAUUGCUUUAUCAAGCUGUAUUUUCUGGUCUUAAGUUUCAUAAAUUUAUAACCUGAAUUGAUUCAAAUAAGUUCAACUUUCUCUUGUUACUGUGCUUUGUGCUUUUCUGAGAAGAUGAUUGGAAAAGAUGCAUGCUGAAAAAAAGACGAGUUCAGCCUCUAACUGAUCUUAAGUUUUUAAAAUAUAUUAUCCUUUGAAAAACCCCCACAACCCAGUUUGCCAUAAUAGUUCCAGCAUCAACAGUCACUAAUCUAUUUUCCAUGC